GACGAACGCUGGCGGCGUGCUUAACACAUGCAAGUCGAACGGAAAGGCCCUGCUUUUGUGGGGUGCUCGAGUGGCGAACGGGUGAGUAACACGUGAGUAACCUGCCCUUGACUUUGGGAUAACUUCAGGAAACUGGGGCUAAUACCGGAUAGGAGCUCCUGCUGCAUGGUGGGGGUUGGAAAGUUUCGGCGGUUGGGGAUGGACUCGCGGCUUAUCAGCUUGUUGGUUGGGUAGUGGCUUACCCAGGCUUUGACGGGUAGCCGGCCUGAGAGGGUGACCGGCCACAUUGGGACUGAGAUACGGCCCAGACUCCUACGGGAGGCAGCAGUGGGGAAUAUUGCACAAUGGGCGGAAGCCUGAUGCAGCAACGCCGCGUGCGGGAUGACGGCCUGCGGGUUGUAAACCGCUUUCGCCUGUGACGAAGCGUGAGUGACGGUAAUGGGUAAAGAAGCACCGGCUAACUACGUG
rnacentral:rRNA from 1 species